rnacentral:rRNA from 1 species
GACGAACGCUGGCGGCGUGCCUAACACAUGCAAGUCGAACGGGGUGAGAUCCUUCGGGGUUUCACUUAGUGGCGAACGGGUGAGUAACGCGUGAGAAACCUGCCUUUCAGUGGGGGACAACAGUUGGAAACGACUGCUAAUACCGCAUAACGUAUUUUAGGGGCAUCCCUUGAAUACCAAAGCUUUAUGUGCUGAAAGAUGGUCUCGCGUCUGAUUAGCUAGAUGGCGGGGUAACGCCCACCAUGGCGACGAUCAGUAGCCGGUCUGAGAGGAUGAACGGCCACAUUGGGACUGAGAUACGGCCCAGACUCCUACGGGAGGCAGCAGUGGGGAAUAUUGGGCAAUGGGGGAAACCCUGAUGCAGCGACGCCGCGUGAGCGAAGAAGUAUUUCGGUAUGUAAAGCUCUAUCAGCAGGGAAGAUAAUGACGGUACCUGACUAAGAAGCUCCGGCUAAAUACGUG